AACCGGACACACCCAUUUUUUUAGACCGCCCCCAGUGAAUAUAAGGAUCCUGCACAUAAAAGAAGAGGAAAGGGUAAUAAGCUGGGGGCUCGAAAAUGGGAAGGCAAAAGUCCUACUGAGCAAAAAGAAUCAACUGGAUGUGGCUACUGAUGGAAAUUCAGUCACAAAAUUGACAAUAUUUGAGAGAAAUAAGAAAACAAUCUCAGAGGAUGAAUCAUAUAUUUUGAGAGGAUAUUCUCUGAGAGGGAAUGAGCCCCAUUUAUUUCUACAUGUCCUCCCAACAACUCAGUUUUUUAAGGGCCCGAAGGUGUCCAUUACUGUGGAGAUUACAGCGAGGGGAAAGGCCCUGUUAGAUCUGCCAGCCCCCUUGACUUGUUUAGAAAAAGUAGCAGUGGGGGGUGGCCUGAUAAGUGCAAAAGGAGAAAUUGUCGAGGUAUGAAUUUUUAUAUUUCUUAUAACUUCAUAAUUUAAUCUCAGACUUCAUUUGCUAGCUGUAGAUAUCGAAUAACUACAAGAUAACCUGACAUGGCCCAUUACAGAACAAUAUGUGAACUCUAAAUUUUUUAUUUAUUUAUUUUUUUGGUACUUUUCAGUUUACUGCAGUGAGACUGGUUAAAUCUGGGAGAGGCGAGGUACCGAUCCGUAGUACCAGGCUGAAAGAGGGCAGCUGCACAAUGCAGCUGUCAUUGUGGAGAGAGGCAGUGAUGGUGGAACUCCAAGUGGGGCAACAUGUCCAUGUUUCGCAUGUGACAUGCCAAGAUUAUGGAUAUGGCCCAAAGCUGCAAAGCACGGCACACACAAAAGUAGAGGCUCAAAAGGAGAACAUGGAAGUCAUCAUAAUCGGUGUCAUGGACACGGAUGACACGAAUAUGAAGGAAGUCCUCCUAGAGGAUGACAUCACUCUACUCAUGUCAGCUGCAGUAUGGUAGCCUUUUAAUGGGGAGUUGGAGCAUGGGAAAAUUGAGGCUCGAAUUGAAAUCAGAGGAAGAGAAAUUCAAAAAAUGUCAAUGAAAUAAUUUGUAUUCAAAGUGAAAAAAAAUCUGUUAAUGCUGUUAUUUAUGUAUUG